rnacentral:misc_RNA from 1 species
AUUGAUUUCUUAAUAAGCCAAUCCAACAAAUUAAAGGUACACACGCAAGUUGAUCCAAAUACCUGUCAUCAGAAAAGGCAAAGCAGGCCAUUUUCUGAGAUCUACACCACAGUAAAUAUAACUGAUUGUCUUAUAAAAUGGUUACUUAACUAGUCCUCUUAUAUCAAGCAGGCUAUACCCAGUGGAGGCCAGACUUGGCAUAAAUUUGUCACAAAAUUACAUCUGAAGCAAUAUUAUGAUACACGCCGGUUUCGAAGCAAAGGAAGACUCAGCUAUAUAAUAUUCACACACAUCAUAUUCUAUUAAGCAAAACAUUCAGCCAGUUAUAGAUGUCUUUGCAGCAAGGUGUGUAAGUGCGCGUUUGUGAUAACUCUGUCGUAGCUUCUUGUACUUCUGCACAAAUGUUGCAAGAUCGAUUUGCCCCUCGAGAAGCUGUUUGUCUAGAUUUUCAGAUUCCUCGUCUGUUUUUCUCAUGGCAUCUUGUAGCCGAUGGAGGAGUGAUGCAGGAGAGUAGAAUUUUAAGAGUUCUUCUUUCCUCCUUUCCAGUUCAUGCAGCUUUUCUUGAGCAGCAGCCAAUUCAGUGGUGCGGAUGAUUCUGCACUGAUUCCUAAGCUCCAUUAUACGCGGUUCUUUUUCUAAAUUCUCCCUA